rnacentral:rRNA from 1 species
AACGAACGCUGGCGGCAUGCCUAACACAUGCAAGUCGAACGGGAUCCAGGCUUCGGCCUGGUGAGAGUGACGGACGGGUGAGUAACACGUGGGAACCUGCCUUUUGGUUCGGGAUAACCGCGGGAAACUGCGGCUAAUACCGGAUGCUCCCGAGAGGGGAAAGAUUUAUCGCCAGAAGAGGGGCCCGCGUCCGAUUAGGUAGUUGGUGAGGUAAUGGCUCACCAAGCCGACGAUCGGUAGCUGGUCUGAGAGGAUGAUCAGCCACACUGGGACUGAGAUACGGCCCAGACUCCUACGGGAGGCAGCAGUGGGGAAUAUUGGACAAUGGGCGAAAGCCUGAUCCAGCAAUGCCGCGUGAGUGAUGAAGGCCUUAGGGUUGUAAAAUUCUUUCACCGGGGACGAUAAUGACGGUACCCGGAGAAGAAGCCCCGGCUAACUUCGUGCCAGCAGCCGCGGUAAU